GACGAACGCUGGCGGCGUGCUUAACACAUGCAAGUCGAGCGGUAAGGCCCUUUCGGGGGUACACGAGCGGCGAACGGGUGAGUAACACGUGGGUGACCUGCCCUCAGCUCUGGGAUAAGCCUGGGAAACCGGGUCUAAUACUGGAUAUGACUCCAUGACGCAUGUUGUGGGGUGGAAAGCCUUGUGCGGCUGAGGAUGGGCCCGCGGCCUAUCAGCUUGUUGGUGGGGUGAUGGCCUACCAAGGCGACGACGGGUAGCCGGCCUGAGAGGGCGACCGGCCACACUGGGACUGAGACACGGCCCAGACUCCUACGGGAGGCAGCAGCGGGGAAUCUUGCGCAAUGGGCGAAAGCCUGACGCAGCGACGCCGCGUGAGGGAUGACGGCCU
rnacentral:rRNA from 1 species